rnacentral:rRNA from 1 species
AGCGAACGCUGGCGGCAGGCUUAACACAUGCAAGUCGAACGCCCGUAGCAAUACGGGAGUGGCAGACGGGUGAGUAACGCGUGGGAACAUGCCCUUUGGUUCGGAAUAACUCAGGGAAACUUGAGCUAAUACCGGAUAAGCCCGAGAGGGGAAAGAUUUAUCGCCGAAGGAUUGGCCCGCGUCCGAUUAGCUAGUUGGUGAGGUAAUGGCUCACCAAGGCGACGAUCGGUAGCUGGUCUGAGAGGAUGAUCAGCCACACUGGGACUGAGACACGGCCCAGACUCCUACGGGAGGCAGCAGUGGGGAAUAUUGGACAAUGGGGGCAACCCUGAUCCAGCCAUGCCGCGUGAGUGAUGAAGGCCCUAGGGUUGUAAGGCUCUUUCGGCGGGGACGAUAAUGACGGUACCCGCAGAAGAAGCCCCGGCUAACUUCGUGCCAGCAGCCGCUGUAA